rnacentral:rRNA from 1 species
GUGGAUUGGACGUCUGUCGUGUUAUACGACUCGUCUGAAAUGUAUGAGUGUACCCUGCCUUGCAGCGUAUCCAGUGUGAUAAGCAUCUUCACUGGUUUGGCCUUUAUUGGCGACGCCUUGGCCACAGGUAGUAUGCUUCUAACCGUCCCUAUGGACAAUACCUUGACAAUUUGACCUCAAAUCGGGUGGGACUACCCGCUGAACUUAAGCAUAUCAAUAAGCGGAGGAAAAGAAACUAACAAGGAUUCCCCUAGUAACGGCGAGUGAAGAGGGAAAAGCUCAAAUUUUGAAUCUGGGGUCUUCGACUCCCGAGUUGUAAUCUAGAGAAGUGUUUUCCGCGUUGGACCGUGUACAAGUUCCCUGGAACGGGGCGUCAUAGAGGGUGAGAAUCCCGUAUAUGCCACGGACUACCAUUGCUUUGUGAUACACUCUCAACGAGUCGAGUUGUUUGGGAAUGCAGCUCAAAAUGGGUGGUAAAUUCCAUCUAAAGCUAAAUAUUGGCGAGAGACCGAUAGCGAACAAGUACCGUGAGGGAAAGAUGAAAAGCACUUUGGAAAGAGAGUGAAACAGUACGUGAAAUUGUUGAAAGGGAAGCGUUUGAAGUCAGUCACAUCUGUCGGAAUUCAGCCUUGCUUCUGCUCGGUGUAUUUUCUGAUUGAUGGGUCAGCAUCAAUUUCGAUCGAGGGAAAAAGACUUGGGGAAUGUGGCUGUCUCGGCAGUGUUAUAGCCCUUUGUUGUAUGUCUCGGUUGGGAUUGAGGAACGCAGCACGCCUUUUGGCCGGGGUUCGCGCCCUCGGUACGUGCUUAGGAUGCUGGCAUAAUGGCUUUAAGCGA